UUUUCCGUGCGCGUUCCACGAAAAGAUGAGCGAACCUUGUGUCUUAAAAUACCUCGCGUUCUGAGUCUACCGUUUAGUUUGAAACAAGUUUAUUCGCUUGUUUAUUGGGCCAGCCGCGAUUGCUUGGUGUAGUCCAAGUCUAGUGUAUUUGUGUAUAUAUGUGGGAAAGUAGCACGGGAAGUCUCAAUACUUAACGCUACUUACACAAUCAAUUUCAACGGUUAUUUCUUACGAAUAAGGGUGUUGCUGUUUCAAUUAAAAAGUUCGCCACCGUUAGUUUUCGAGAUUAAUUAAAACGUAAUAAACUUGUGUCUCCAUCUCCUAUUGUUAAGUGAUUUGUGAUCUGGAAGUUGUAAUCAGUGUGUGUGUACAGUGAAUAUGACCUUGGUAGUUUUGAAUAAUUACUUCGACUAGCCAACAUAAUGCAACAGAAGGUUGUUCGUUCUCUGUCGUUUUUUGAUUGUGUUGGUUACAAUAUCGGUCAUCUGAAGCAACUACUUCUAAGGCUACGGCUGUCCACAUUUUGAAAAUGGACGAAAGCAGUAACAUAGUAGAUCCUCCUCAGUUUUCCACUACAUGCGGUGCACUAGAGGACGAUAUCAACAUAAGUGAUGUCAUUGAAGUUAUCCAAGAGGAUCCGGACUUCAAGCAGUCCAAUUCGAAAUCAUCAGCUAUGUAUAACGGAGGACCGGAUACCGAGAACGCUCCUUUGCAAUUGGAGCAGCCUAUAACAGCAGCUCAGGCCCGACGACAUUGUUAUGUUAAAAUUAUUGAACAGCCAGCACCUAAGGCACUUCGUUUUCGUUAUGAAUGCGAAGGAAGAUGUGCCGGAUCAAUUCCUGGAGUUUCAAGUACUCCAGAGAACAAAACGUAUCCUGCUAUUCAGGUGAUAGGUUAUAAAGGAAGAGCUGUCGUGGUGGUCUCGUGCGUCACGAAGGACCCUCCCUACAGGCCUCACCCUCACAAUCUAGUAGGAAGGGAUGGUUGUAGGAAAGGCGUGUGUACCCUGGAAAUUUCACCGGAAACAAUGUCUGUAACUUUUCCAAACUUAGGGAUUCAGUGUGUCAAAAAAAAAGACAUCGAAAGUGCUCUGAGACAGAGAGAAGAAAUUAGAGUUGAUCCAUUUAGAACUGGGUUUUCGCACAGAAACCAACCAACGUCCAUUGAUCUAAAUGCUGUAAGGUUGUGUUUUCAAGUGUUUUUGGAAGGUGAAAGGGGAAGAUUCACGAUACCUUUAACACCGGUAGUUAGCGAAUCCAUUUACGAUAAAAAGGCAAUGUCCGACCUUGUAAUCGUCAAAUUAUCAGACUGCGUAACGACCGUCGAUGGCGGGAAAAAAGAUAUAAUUCUUCUUUGUGAAAAAGUGGCAAAAGAAGAUAUUCAAGUUCGUUUUUACGAAGAAAAGGAAAAUCAAGUGGUGUGGGAGGGUUUCGCUGAUUUCCAGCCCUCUCAGGUUCACAAACAGACUGCAAUUUGGUUUAGACCUCCGCGGUAUAGGACUUUAGAAAUUACGGAACCUGUCAAGGUUUACAUUCAGUUGAGAAGACCUUCAGACGGAUCCACUAGUGAACCUCUUCCUUUUCAAUUCUUACCCUUAGAUUCAGAGCCCGGCAUGUUAAAGCGUAAACGACAGAAACACGAAAAUGACGCGAAAAAUCAAUUAUUAGUGUUUCAGUUACAGGAGCAGGAAACCAAUAAAGCGCAUUUCAACCAACUUCUCAACAUUCCCGUAAAUGCGGUAAAAGUUGAACCCAGAGCUUAUCGUACUACGACGAUGAUAAACCAACUACCUUUUCACAAAUACUAAGAAAAUAUAAAAGAUAAUAGAAAAUACCAUAAAAUUGAAAAAAUAUAUAAUGCAAGAAGUACAUAUGUUAUGCUUUGCAGUGUGUGGUGUUGGAUCAUUACUUAUAGGGAAAGGAUACUAGCCCAGCUCCAUAUGGUGGUCAAGUUUACGGGAAUCCAAUGUAUAUUCCGAAUGCAUCUUCACCACCCCAAC
rnacentral:misc_RNA from 1 species